UUGAACGCUGGCGGCAGGCCUAACCCAUGCCAGUCGAGCGGAUGAAGGGAGCUUGCUCCUGGAUUCAGCGGCGGACGGGUGAGUAAUGCCUAGGAAUCUGCCUGGUAGUGGGGGAUAACGUCCGGAAACGGGCGCUAAUACCGCAUACGUCCUGAGGGAGAAAGUGGGGGAUCUUCGGACCUCACGCUAUCAGAUGAGCCUAGGUCGGAUUAGCUAGUUGGUGGGGUAAAGGCCUACCAAGGCGACGAUCCGUAACUGGUCUGAGAGGAUGAUCAGUCACACUGGAACUGAGACACGGUCCAGACUCCUACGGGAGGCAGCAGUGGGGAAUAUUGGACAAUGGGCGAAAGCCUGAUCCAGCCAUGCCGCGUGUGUGAAGAAGGUCUUCGGAUUGUAAAGCACUUUAAGUUGGGAGGAAGGGCAGUAAGUUAAUACCUGGCUGUUUUGACGUUACCAACAGAAUAAGCACCGGCUAACUUCGU
rnacentral:rRNA from 1 species